GACGAACGCUGGCGGCGUGCCUAAUACAUGCAAGUUGAGCGCUGAAGGUUGGUACUUGUACCAACUGGAUGAGCAGCGAACGGGUGAGUAACGCGUGGGGAAUCUGCCUUUGAGCGGGGGACAACAUUUGGAAACGAAUGCUAAUACCGCAUAAAAACUUUAAACACAAGUUUUAAGUUUGAAAGAUGCAAUUGCAUCACUCAAAGAUGAUCCCGCGUUGUAUUAGCUAGUUGGUGAGGUAAAGGCUCACCAAGGCGAUGAUACAUAGCCGACCUGAGAGGGUGAUCGGCCACAUUGGGACUGAGACACGGCCCAAACUCCUACGGGGGGCAGCAGUAGGGAAUCUUCGGCAAUGGACGAAAGUCUGACCGAGCAACGCCGCGUGAGUGAAGAAGGUUUUCGGAUCGUAAAACUCUGUUGGUAGAGAAGAACGUUGGUGAGAGUGGAAAGCUCAUCAAGUGACGGUAACUACCCAGAAAGGGACGGCUAACUACGU
rnacentral:rRNA from 1 species